rnacentral:rRNA from 1 species
CACUCCUACGGGAGGCAGCAGUGGGGAAUAUUGGACAAUGGGCGCAAGCCUGAUCCAGCCAUGCCGCGUGAGUGAUGAAGGCCCUAGGGUUGUAAAGCUCUUUCACCGGUGAAGAUAAUGACGGUAACCGGAGAAGAAGCCCCGGCUAACUUCGUGCCAGCAGCCGCGGUAAUACGAAGGGGGCUAGCGUUGUUCGGAUUUACUGGGCGUAAAGCGCACGUAGGCGGACUAUUAAGUCAGGGGUGAAAUCCCGGGGCUCAACCCCGGAACUGCCUUUGAUACUGGUAGUCUUGAGUUCGAGAGAGGUGAGUGGAAUUCCGAGUGUAGAGGUGAAAUUCGUAGAUAUUCGGAGGAACACCAGUGGCGAAGGCGGCUCACUGGCUCGAUACUGACGCUGAGGUGCGAAAGCGUGGGGAGCAAACAGGAUUAGAUACCCCUGUAGUCCCAUGA